GUACAGUACAAACCAAACCGCAAAGUGAAACCGCAAAUGGCUCAUUAAAUCAGCUAUGAUUUCUUGGAUCUGUCCCCCCAGUUUUCCUUGGAUAACUGUGGUAAUUCUAGAGCUAAUACAUGCACAUUUAGUCCCUGACCUCACGGGAAGGGCGCUUUUAUUAGUAUCAAAACCGGUACUUCGGUCUGUAAAACCAGUUGUGAUGACUCUGGAUAAUUUUUGCUGAGCGCACAGUCUUUGCACUGGCGCCACUUCUUUCAAGUGUCUGCCCUAUCAGCUCUCGAUUGUAGGAUAUGGGCCUACAAUGGCUAUAACGGGUAACGGGGAAUCAGGGUUCGAUUCCGGAGAGGGAGCCUGAGAAACGGCUACCACAUCUAAGGAAGGCAGCAGGCACGCAAAUUACCCACUCCCAGCUUGGGGAGGUAGUGACGAAAAAUAACGAUGCGAGACUCAUCCGAGGCCUCGCAAUCGGAAUGAGUACACUUUAAAUCCUUUAACGAGGAUCAAUUGGAGGGCAAGUCUGGUGCCAGCAGCCGCGGUAAUUCCAGCUCCAAUAGCGUAUAUUAAAGUUGUUGCGGUUAAAAUGCUCGUAGUUGGAUAUCAGGAUUGGACUGUAGGUGCGCCGUGAGGCGUUUCAAUUACCUAUCAGUAUCUGAACGAGCUUACCACAACAAACUUUGUGUAUGCCCACACUGGCUCACCCGGGGUGUUCUUAAUUGAGUGCCCCGCGUGGCCGGUAUGUUUACUUUGAAAAAAUUAGAGUGCUUAAAGCAGGCCGACUGAACGGCCUGAAUGUCUAUGCAUGGAAUAAUGUAAAAGGACCUCGGUUCUAUCUUUACCGGGCAAAUAUGUUGUGGAACCCGAGGUAAUGAUUAAUGGGACAAUGAGGCAUUAGUACUGUGACGCUAGAGUGAAUCCAAGGAUGUUUUCAUUAAUCAAGAACGAAAGUUAGGGGAUCAAAGACGAUCAGAUACCGUCCUAGUCUUAACUAUAAACUAUACCGACUCAGGAUUGGCCGAGUCUUAACUCGGUCAGCACUGUAUGAGAAAUUAAAGUCUUUGGGUUCUGGGGGGAGUAUGGUCGCAAGGCUGAAACUUAAAGGAAUUGACGGAAGGGCACCACCAGGAGUGGAGCCUGCGGCUUAAUUUGACUCAACACGGGGAAACUUACCAAGGCCAAACAGAGGUGGGAUUGACAGAUUGAGAGCUCUUUCUUGAUUCUUUGGGUGGUGGUGCAUGGCCGUUCUUAGUUGGUGGAGUGAUUUGUCUGGUUAAUUCCGUUAACGAACGAGACCUUAACCUGCUAACUAGUUUUCAUUCUCACAGAGUGAAAUACUUCUUAGAGGGACUAUAUAUGUCAAGUAUAUGGAAGUUUGAGGCAAUAACAGGUCUGUGAUGCCCUUAGAUGCCUUGGGCCGCACGUGCGCUACAAUGACAUGCUCAGCGAGUUCUAUCCUGAUUCGGAAGAAUUUGGGUAAUCUUUUUAGGACAUGUCGUGUUAGGGAUCGAUCUUUGGAAUUAUAGAUCUUGAACGAGGAAUUCCUAGUAAGUGCAAGUCAUCAGCUUGUACUGAUUACGUCCCUGCCCUUUGUACACACCGCCCGUCGCUGCUACCGAUUUCGAGUGGUCCGGUGAACCACAUGGACUGAAAAGGAAGUGUAGUAAACCUUAUCACUUAGAGGAAGCAGAAGUCGUAACAAGGUUUCC
rnacentral:rRNA from 1 species